UCUCCUCCCCUCAGUCUGCUCAAGCCAUAUCUACGUCCUUGCUCUUGCUUUGAUCAAAGUUGUUCUCUCCAAAAGCCUUUGUUUUCACUGCCCAAUCUAACCUGUUUCUUUACUAGGUUUUUUUCAGACAGGCUUUCCUGACUUCUCUUUUUUCAUUUAUGGCAAUGAUUACGACCUGAAAUGACGUAUUUUUGGUCCCUAGGGACUUGGUCUUGCUUGUGACUGUCCCCAGUGCCUAGUAGGCUGUAGAGGCACAAAUACUGGAUGAACAGAUGGGAAAGAAGUUUAAUUGACUGUCAUUUGCCGGACAUUGCUGGGGCUCGAGUAUCUGUGCUCCUCUUAUCUGAAAGUUGUCCUUUAGAGCUCCUUUCAGGUUCCUUGGAGCCACGAAGAACAUUUGCUCACUUCUCCAAAUGCUUCAACUCUCGAGCCACAUGUGCCUCCUGCGUGCCAAGCACUUGGGUUACUACAACAAAGACUUGAUCACAGAGUUUUCUUUGGGCGCCUUUUUGUCUAGCCAUGGAAAGAGACGAUGAAGCGACAGUGGGUGCUCAGUGAAGCUUUUGAAUGAACAGUAGGACUCAUCCCAGAAAAGUCACAUAAGCAGGUGAGUAUAGAUCCAGGAUUUGGAUCCUGUCUGAUCACACAGCCUGCCCCUUAACCCCUCAGUCCUGUCUGUCAUCCAUUCGCUCUGGAGGAUGCUGGAGCCCGUGGUUCAUUUCCUGUUCCUGAGCAUUCCACCGCCACCACUGUGACGUCAUGGCUAUUAUGUGGCUUCUCAUCACGUGUUCCCCGUCUCUCCCAUGUCGGAACCAUAUUUGGCUCUACUGGAACCCCACGUGACUAGCUGGGGGUAAGCGUGGCACCUCCACCUCCAGGGGGGGCUCUGAUGGCUUGGACCAGGCAAUGCCUCAUCCCCUUACACUCAGUCACAAAACAGACACUACCUGAGCCAGAGUCAGGGAUCUGCCAAAAGAAGGCAGCAGCGGGGGCUUGCCUGGUGGCCCAGUGAUUAAGACUGCUUUCCAAAGCCGGGGGUGUGUUUUGGUUCCCUAGUUGGGGAGCUAAGAUACCACAAGCUUCACUGCCAAAAAAACCACAAAACAUUAAAAAACAAAAGCACUAUUGUAACAUUCAAUAAAGAUUUUCUUUUAAAAAAAGAAAAGUACA
rnacentral:lncRNA from 1 species